rnacentral:rRNA from 1 species
GUCUAUAGCGGUAUCUCCCUGAAUAUACCUGAUCUUCUCUAAUCUUAGAAGUUAAGCAGGGCCAAGCUUCAUUAUUAUUUGAAUAGGAGUGAGUUUAUAAAGCACAAUUCACU